UUGGAGGGCAAGUCUGGUGCCAGCAGCCGCGGCAACUCCAGCUCCAAUAGCGUAUAUUAAAGUUGUUGCCGUUAAAAAGCUCGUAGUCGAAUUUCGGCCUUUGCCGCCCGGUCCGCCUAUUUGGGUGUGUACUGGAGCGGUGGAGGCUUACCUCGUGGUGAGCUGUUAUGCCCUUUACUGGGUGUGGCAGGGAACCAUGAUUUUUACUUUGAAAAAAUUAGAGUGUUUAAAGCAGGC
rnacentral:rRNA from 1 species